CUUUACACACCCCGUUCAUCACAUCAAAGAUGGUAUCACUGAUGGAAACACAGCACUGACAGGAUACUAGGUGCCAUCAAGUACCAGAUUCAAAGCUGAUUAGUUAAUACACAAGAGGGCUUCUGGAAGAUGCUGGGACUGUUCACGCGGACAUAUGGGCCAUCCACGGCAGCUCACAUCUCAGGACCACGUGGAAGUCUGGCACAUACUUGUCAGGUGAACACUGUUGGCCUGUUAUUCUUGUGAGAUAUUCUAUUAUCUCGUAUGGCUGAGAUGCUUGCUUCUUGCUUCCAGGACAUUAUUUGGGGAUUUUUUUUUUUUUUUUUUGGUUGGGGAGAGGGAGGCAAUUAGGCUUGUUUGUUUAUUUAUUAACCGAGGCAUCUCGUGCAUGCUAAGAACGCACUCUACCACUGAGCUACACCCUUCCCCAAGGGACAUUAUUGAGUUGGUUAAAUCUUUAAAUGGGCAGGGAAGAUAAAAAUGAAGCAGAACCUUCUUCUGACGAGCACUCUUUGCCUCCUCUAGGUAGUUCUAUCUUCCCUAGGUUGACAGGAUGGGAUUUUCUUCUGCCAGAUCCCCAUUUAUUCUCUCUCCCACCCCCACAAGAGCGUAAUAACACACCAAAACCAUCACAUUCCAGGUGCUCAGUCUUAACUGAAGUCUGCAGGAUGUACAGUCUUUGGGGGGACCAAGCACGACAAGAGGCUGUUGGCACUUCAGCGGCGACAAUGCCUAUAGAUGGAAAUGGAAAAGAAGGUCUGCAUGAUCUCUGGGGCUUUGCAGACUUGUGACUGUGUAAUAACAAGAUUACUCCUCCCAACUGCACCCCUCCCUGCAGGACCCACUGUCCCUGCAGGUACUGCUAGAUGGCCCAGGUAUAGCAAAGAAACUGACUUGUUA